UCCUUAUACGGCAGUUCUUCCUGGUUAUACGCGGUAGAAUUUUUGAUUUGCGCUAGCGUAGCCUACCUCGUAUCCCAACAGUGGUAUCAGAGCCUUAGCUGCUUAGUUUUGGAUUCGGGAUGUGUGCAUAUGGAGAUAUGCGAGUUUUCUGUUUGAUCUAUGUCCUGGUUUCGUGCCCUUGCUGCAAUGGUAGUGUAACGACAUACUCCUACCGGUCGGUUUCCGCCAUCGGAGUUAAGUGAUACACGUAAAUCCAGUUGCAGUGAGGGAAGAUCAAUAUGAUUGGUCGAAUCGAGAUCCAGGGUCAUACGCCAGGCGCAUUAGAUGUGCAAUGGUAGAUGGGAUCUACUGCCGGGGUCGGGAUUUUGCCGUAUGCGCAUGCUUCGGUAAAUCAGCCGUAACUUUUCGGUAUGAUCUCGGAUCGGGGCGAUUUCUAUACGAAAAUUGAUCUACAGAAAAAGUUACACGUGAAUUUCAACCGCUUUGCCGUUUUCGGCGAAAUUAGAUUUGCCAAAUUCGGCUUGGAAGAUGGAGUUUCGGGCCUCCGAAGUUUGGAACGUUAGGACGCCUAACUCUCUUUUGCAGGAUGUAUCUUGUGAUCAGUAUGGCCCCCUUGUGUAUGUGAUGCAUGUGUGUAACUAAUUCGUGACCUGCGUGUCGCGCGUACGGCAACACGGCAGGAGCCAUAUGUGUUGUCACUUUAUUGUAUUUAAUGGUCUGCGUACCAAU
rnacentral:lncRNA from 1 species